UACGUAGGGCGCAAGCGUUGUCCGGAAUUAUUGGGCGUAAAGAGCUCGUAGGCGGCCUGUUGCGUCCGCUGUGAAAUCCCGGGGCUCAACCCCGGGCCUGCAGUGGAUACGGGCUGGCUAGAGGCAGGCAGGGGAGAACGGAAUCCUGGUGUAGCGGUGAAAUGCGCAGAUAUCAGGAGGAACACCGGUGGCGAAGGCGGUUCUCUGGGCCUGUACUGACGCUGAGGAGCGAAAGCGUGGGGAGCAAACAGG
rnacentral:rRNA from 1 species